rnacentral:rRNA from 1 species
CAGUAGCCGCGGUAAUACGAGGGGUGCAAGCGUUAUUCGGAUUGAUUGGGUGUAAAGGGUGUGCAGACGGCUUAUUAAGUCACUUGUUAAAUUCUUCGGCCUAACUGAAGGUCUGCAUGUGAUACUGAUGAGCUAGAGGGUGGAAGAGAGAAGUGGAAUUCUCGGAGUAGCGGUAAAAUGCGUAGAUCUCGAGAGGAACACCAAUGGCGAAGGCAGCUUCUUGGUCCAUUCCUGACGUUCAUACACGAAAGCGUGGGGAGCAAACAGGAUUAGAUACCCCCGUAGUCCCUGUCUCUUAUAC